rnacentral:rRNA from 1 species
GUGAGGAAUAUUGCGCAAUGGAGGCAACUCUGACGCAGCCAUGCCGCGUGCAGGAAGAAGGCGCUACGCGUUGUAAACUGCUUUUAACCGGGAAGAAACCCCAGGACGUGUCCUGGGUUGACGGUACCGGAGGAAUAAGCACCGGCUAACUUCGUGCCAGCAGCCGCUGUAAUACGAAGGGUGCAAGCGUUAUCCGGAUUCAUUGGGUUUAAAGGGUGCGUAGGCGGAGCGUUAAGUCAGUGGUGAAAUCCUGCAGCUUAACUGUAGACUUGCCAUUGAUACUGGCGCUCUUGAGUGCGCUUGAAGUGGGCGGAAUGUGCCGUGUAGCGGUGAAAUGCUUAGAUAUGGCACAGAACACCAAUUGCGAAGGCAGCUCACUAAGGCGAUACUGACGCUGAGGCACGAAAGCGUGGGGAUCGAACAGGAUUAGAAACCCUUGUAGUCC